rnacentral:rRNA from 1 species
GAUGAACGCUGGCGGCGUGCCUAACACAUGCAAGUCGAGCGAAUGGAUUAAGAGCUUGCUCUUAUGAAGUUAGCGGCGGACGGGUGAGUAACACGUGGGUAACCUGCCCAUAAGACUGGGAUAACUCCGGGAAACCGGGGCUAAUACCGGAUAACAUUUUGAACCGCAUGGUUCGAAAUUGAAAGGCGGCUUCGGCUGUCACUUAUGGAUGGACCCGCGUCGCAUUAGCUAGUUGGGGAGGUAACGGAUCACCAAGGCAACGAUGCGUAGCCGACCUGAGAGGGUGAUCGGCCACACUGGGACUGAGACACGGCCCAGACUCCUACGGGAGGCAGCAGUAGGGAAUCUUCCGCAAUGGACGAAAGUCUGACGGAGCAACGCCGCGUGAGUGAUGAAGGCUUUCGGGUCGUAAAACUCUGUUGUUAGGGAAGAACAAGUGCUAGUUGAAUAAGCUGGCACCUUGACGGUACCUAACCAGAAAGCCACGGCUAACUACGUGCCAGCCGCCGCCGUAA